AAACUGGUACCUGGCCGGGUUGGGGUUCCCCCUGGCCUGUCUAGGUGCUGGGGAAUCAGCGUACGGCUCCGCAUAUCUGUUGCUACCCACCGUGGUAAAUUGGGCCCGGAUAUAGCAUGGAAAGGCUGUGUGUAACACGAACAACCGGGGCACCCGCUCUCAUUUGGCAUCGAAGGGCGGGCUAACUGGAGCCUUUCCAUGGAUCCGGCCCCAUUAAAAGAUCCCAAAGUACCGCAGGCCGACUGGCCUGCCUUGACAGGCGGCCAGACCCAGGCCCGGGAAACGGAGGCCGCUGUAUGCCCGGGUGAGCUUACCAGCCCCCCCCAUACGGGGUAGGUAGGGCAUGUUUCCCUCGUGGCAACGACAGCGUCUAACCACAUGCGUCCGAUGGGCUUCAGACCUAUCAGCUAGGCGGUAAGGUAUAGGCCUACCGCGGCUAUGACGGGUACAGAGGAUUAGGGUUUGAUCCUGGAGAGGUAGCCUGAGAAAUCGCUCCCACUUCUAAGGAAGGCAGCAGGCGCGUAACGUUCCCAAUGCUAGUAACUCUAGUGAGGACGUGAUGGGAUAUAGCAAUGCCCCUUUUGUUGGGUAAUUGGUAAUGGGGCAGUUUUAAACCCCCAGC
rnacentral:rRNA from 1 species